AACGAACGCUGGCGGCAGGCCUAACACAUGCAAGUCGAGCGAAGCCUUCGGGCUUAGCGGCGGACGGGUGAGUAACGCGUGGGAACGUGCCCUUUGGUACGGAAUAGCCCCGGGAAACUGGGAGUAGUACCGUAUGUGGUCGAGAGACGAAAGAUUUAUCGCCAAAGGAUCGGCCCGCGUUGGAUUAGGUAGUUGGUGGGGUAAUGGCCUACCAAGCCGACGAUCCAUAGCUGGUUUGAGAGGAUGAUCAGCCACACUGGGACUGAGACACGGCCCAGACUCCUACGGGAGGCAGCAGUGGGGAAUCUUAGACAAUGGGGGAAACCCUGAUCUAGCCAUGCCGCGUGAUCGAUGAAGGCCUUAGGGUUGUAAAGAUCUUUCAGUGGGGAAGAUAAUGACUGUACCCACGGAAGAAGCCCCGGCUAACUCCGCGCCAGCAGCCGCAGUAA
rnacentral:rRNA from 1 species